CUCAACGCACCCAGCCAGGCCAGCGGCAGUCCGUCCAGCACGAAGAAUACAAGGUCCACUCCCACAAUAGAAAUGGGCUUUGUGCGGUUACAUUCAUGGAUGAUCAUUAUCCUGUACGGAGUGCAU